rnacentral:rRNA from 1 species
UACGUAGGGGGCGAGCGUUGUCCGGAUUUAUUGGGCGUAAAGAGCUCGUAGGCGGUUUGGUAAGUCGGGUGUGAAAUCUCCACGCUCAACGUGGAGGGGCCACUCGAUACUGCCAUGACUCGAGUCCGGUAGAGGAGUGUGGAAUUCCCGGUGUAGCGGUGAAAUGCGCAGAUAUCAGGAGGAACACCGGUGGCGAAGGCGGAUCUCUGGGCCGUAACUAACGCUGAGGAGCGAAAGCAUGGGGAGCGAACAGG